rnacentral:rRNA from 1 species
UACGAAGGGGGCUAGCGUUGCUCGGAAUCACUGGGCGUAAAGGGUGCGUAGGCGGUUCGUUAAGUCUGUUGUGAAAUCCCCGGGCUCAACCUGGGAAUGGCAAUGGAUACUGGCGGGCUAGAGUGUGUCAGAGGAUGGUGGAAUUCCCGGUGUAGCGGUGAAAUGCGUAGAGAUCGGGAGGAACAUCAGUGGCGAAGGCGGCCAUCUGGGACAACACUGACGCUGAAGCACGAAAGCGUGGGGAGCAAACAGG